rnacentral:lncRNA from 1 species
CUUUGACUUGUUGCUCAAUACUUGUGUGGUCUUUUCUUCUUUGGAAUUAUCUAUUUCACCAGACCAUCCUUUCAUUUUUGUAGUUUUUUUUUUCAAUAUUGUUAUUUGAUAACUAGAAAAUAUUAAGUUUAGAAAUUGUGAAAUGUUAGGUACUGAUUUGAGUGUUAGAAGUUGAAAUUAAGGGUAAGAAUGGUGAUCAGGAAACGACGAAGAAUAAUGCAUUCUCUAACGUUCGUAAAAAAAAUUACCAUUC